AUUAGAGUUUGAUCCUGGCUCAGGAUGAACGCUAGCGGCAGGCUUAACACAUGCAAGUCGAGGGGUAUAGUUCUUCGGAAUUAGAGACCGGCGCACGGGUGCGUAACGCGUAUGCAAUCUACCUUUCACAGAGGGAUAGCCCAGAGAAAUUUGGAUUAAUACCUCAUAGUAUAUCGAGUUGGCAUCAACAUGAUAUUAAAGUCACAACGGUGAAAGAUGAGCAUGCGUCCCAUUAGCUAGUUGGUAAGGUAACGGCUUACCAAGGCAACGAUGGGUAGGGGUCCUGAGAGGGAGAUCCCCCACACUGGUACUGAGACACGGACCAGACUCCUACGGGAGGCAGCAGUGAGGAAUAUUGGACAAUGGGCGCAAGCCUGAUCCAGCCAUGCCGCGUGCAGGAUGACGGUCCUAUGGAUUGUAAACUGCUUUUGCACAGGAAGAAACACUACUUCGUGAAGUAGCUUGACGGUACUGUGAGAAUAAGGAUCGGCUAACUCCGUGCCAGCAGCCGCGGUAAUACGGAGGAUCCAAGCGUUAUCCGGAAUCAUUGGGUUUAAAGGGUCCGUAGGCGGUUUAGUAAGUCAGUGGUGAAAGCCCAUCGCUCAACGGUGGAACGGCCAUUGAUACUGCUAAACUUGAAUUAUUAGGAAGUAACUAGAAUAUGUAGUGUAGCGGUGAAAUGCUUAGAGAUUACAUGGAAUACCAAUUGCGAAGGCAGGUUGCUACUAAUGGAUUGACGCUGAUGGACGAAAGCGUGGGU
rnacentral:rRNA from 1 species